rnacentral:rRNA from 1 species
CACGUAGGGCGCAAGCGUUGUCCGGAAUUAUUGGGCGUAAAGAGCUCGUAGGCGGACUGUCACGUCUGCUGUGAAAAGCUGGGGCUUAACCCUGGCCUUGCAGUGGAUACGGGCAGACUAGAGGUAGGUAGGGGAGAAUGGAAUUCCCGGUGUAGCGGUGAAAUGCGCAGAUAUCGGGAGGAACACCGGUGGCGAAGGCGGUUCUCUGGGCCUUACCUGACGCUGAGGAGCGAAAGCUAGGGGAGCAAACGGG